AUUGAACGCUGGCGGCAGGCCUAACACAUGCAAGUCGAGCGAGCGGCGGACGGGUGAGUAAUGUCUGGGAAACUGCCUGAUAGAGGGGGAUAACUACUGGAAACGGUGGCUAAUACCGCAUACCAUCAGAUGAACCCAUAUGGGAUUAGCUAGUAGGUGGGGUAAAGGCUCACCUAGGCGACGAUCUCUAGCUGGUCUGAGAGGAUGACCAGCCACACUGGAACUGAGACACGGGCCAGACUCCUACGGUAGGCAGCAGUGGGGAAUAUUGCACAAUGGGCGCAAGCCUGAUGCAGCCAUGCCGCGUGUGUGAAGAAGGCCGUAGGGUUGUAAAGUACUUUCAGCGAGGAGGCGUUACUCGCAGAAGAAGCACCGGCUAACUCCGUGCCAGCAGCCGCGGUAAUAC
rnacentral:rRNA from 1 species